GCCCAGACUCCUACGGGAGGCAGCAGUGGGGGAUAUUGCACAAUGGGGGAAACCCUGAUGCAGCGACGCCGCGUGGGCGAAGAAGUAUUUCGGUAUGUAAAGCCCUAUCAGCAGGGAAGAAGAAAUGACGGUACCUGAGUAAGAAGCACCGGCUAAAUACGUGCCAGCAGCCGCGGUAAUACGUAGGGGGCAAGCGUUAUCCGGAUUUACUGGGUGUAAAGGGAGCGUAGACGGCAGUGCAAGUCUGGAGUGAAAGGCGGGGGCUCAACCCCCGGACUGCUCUGGAAACUGUACGGCCGGAGUGCAGGAGAGGUAAGUGGAAUUCCUAGUGUAGCGGUGAAAUGCGUAGAUAUUAGGAGGAACACCAGUGGCGAAGGCGGCUUACUGGACUGUAACUGACGUUGAGGCUCGAAAGCGUGGGGAGCAAACAGGAUUAGAUACCCCAGUA
rnacentral:rRNA from 1 species